rnacentral:rRNA from 1 species
GACGAACGCUGGCGGCGUGCCUAAUACAUGCAAGUCGAGCGAAGUUUUUCUGGUGCUUGCACUAGAAAAACUUAGCGGCGAACGGGUGAGUAACACGUAAAGAACCUGCCUCAUAGACUGGGACAACUAUUGGAAACGAUAGCUAAUACCGGAUAACAGCAUUAACUGCAUGGUUGAUGUUUAAAAGUUGGUUUUGCUAACACUAUGAGAUGGCUUUGCGGUGCAUUAGCUAGUUGGUGGGGUAAAGGCCUACCAAGGCGACGAUGCAUAGCCGACCUGAGAGGGUGAUCGGCCACACUGGAACUGAGACACGGCCCAGACUCCUACGGGAGGCAGCAGUAGGGAAUCUUCCGCAAUGGGCGAAAGCCUGACGGAGCAACGCCGCGUGAGUGAAGAAGGAUUUCGGAUCGUAAAGCUCUGUUGUUAGGGAAGAAUGAUUGUGUAGUAAAUAAACACAGUAGAGACGGUACCUAACCAGAAAGCCACGGCUAACUACGUG